AACGAACGCUGGCGGCAUGCCUAACACAUGCAAGUCGAACGAAACCUUCGGGUCUAGUGGCGCACGGGUUCGUAACGCGUGGGAACCUGCCCUUAUGGUCGGAAUAACUCCCCGAAAGGGGUGCUAAUACCGGAUCAUGUCUUCGGACCAAAGAUUUCUCGCCUUUGGAUGGGCCCGCGUUGGAUUAGCUAGUUGGUAGGGUAAAAGCCUACCAAGGCGCCGAUCCAUAGCUUGUAUGAGAGGAUGAUCAGCCACACUGGGACUGAGACACGGCCCAGACUCCUACGGGAGGCAGCAGUGGGGAAUAUUGGACCAUGGGCGAAAGCCUGAUCCAGCAAUGCCGCGUGAGUGAUGAAGGCCUUAGGGUUGUAAAGCUCUUUUAACCGGGAUGAUAAUGACAGUACCGGGAGAAUAAGCCCCGGCUAACUCCGUG
rnacentral:rRNA from 1 species